UGUUGGGAAGCUCCCCGUGGUGCCCCAGGGCCCCACUUGUUCCCCCGCGCAGCAGAGGCGCUGCCUUCCUGCUGCGGGGAGGCCGCGGAACGCGCAGGCUGGGUCCUGCGCCGGGUGAGGGUGUGGAAGCACUGCCUCUCCGCGGGAAGUGCUGACCUCCUGCUCUCCUUCCCAGGCUGUGGCCUCCAAGCUGGAUCUGCCGGAUGACCUGGUCGGCUACUUCAGCCUCUUCCUAGUGAGAGAGACCAAGGAUGGGGCUUUCUCCUUUGUGCGGAAGCUGCAGGAGUUCGAGCUGCCGUACGUGUCCGUCACCAGCCUGCACAACCCUGAGUUCAGGAUCAUCCUGCGCAAGAGCUACUGGGACUCCUCUUACGAUGAUGACGUAAUGGAGCAUCGUGUGGGGUUGAACUUGCUGUAUGCGCAGGUGAGGGUCGG